GACGAACGCUGGUGGCGUGCUUAACACAUGCAAGUCGAACGGAAAGGCCCCUUCGGGGGUACUCGAGUGGCGAACGGGUGAGUAACACGUGGGUGAUCUGCCCUGCACUUCGGGAUAAGCCUGGGAAACUGGGUCUAAUACCGGAUAGGACCACGGGAUGCAUGUCCUGUGGUGGAAAGCUUUUGCGGUGUGGGAUGGGCCCGCGGCCUAUCAGCUUGUUGGUGGGGUGACGGCCUACCAAGGCGACGACGGGUAGCCGGCCUGAGAGGGUGUCCGGCCACACUGGGACUGAGAUACGGCCCAGACUCCUACGGGAGGCAGCAGUGGGGAAUAUUGCACAAUGGGCGCAAGCCUGAUGCAGCGACGCCGCGUGGGGGAUGACGGCCUUCGGGUUGUAAACCUCUUUCAGCAGGGACGAAGCGCAAGUGACGGUACCUGCAGAAGAAGCACCGGCCAACUACGUGCCAGCAGCCGCGGUAAUACGUAGGGUGCGAGCGUUGUCCGGAAUUACUGGGCGUAAAGAGCUCGUAGGUGGUUUGUCGCGUUGUUCGUGAAAACCGGGGGCUUAACCCUCGGCGUGCGGGCGAUACGGGCAGACUGGAGUACUGCAGGGGAGACUGGAAUUCCUGGUGUAGCGGUGGAAUGCGCAGAUAUCAGGAGGAACACCGGUGGCGAAGGCGGGUCUCUGGGCAGUAACUGACGCUGAGGAGCGAAAGCGUGGGGAGCGAACAGGAUUAGAUACCCUGGUAGUCCACGCCGUAAACGGUGGGUACUAGGUGUGGGUUUCCUUCCUUGGGAUCCGUGCCGUAGCUAACGCAUUAAGUACCCCGCCUGGGGAGUACGGCCGCAAGGCUAAAACUCAAAGGAAUUGACGGGGGCCCGCACAAGCGGCGGAGCAUGUGGAUUAAUUCGAUGCAACGCGAAGAACCUUACCUGGGUUUGACAUGCACAGGACGCCGGCAGAGAUGUCGGUUCCCUUGUGGCCUGUGUGCAGGUGGUGCAUGGCUGUCGUCAGCUCGUGUCGUGAGAUGUUGGGUUAAGUCCCGCAACGAGCGCAACCCUUGUCUCAUGUUGCCAGCGGGUAAUGCCGGGGACUCGUGAGAGACUGCCGGGGUCAACUCGGAGGAAGGUGGGGAUGACGUCAAGUCAUCAUGCCCCUUAUGUCCAGGGCUUCACACAUGCUACAAUGGCCGGUACAAAGGGCUGCGAUGCCGCGAGGCUUAGCGAAUCCUUUUAAAGCCGGUCUCAGUUCGGAUCGGGGUCUGCAACUCGACCCCGUGAAGUCGGAGUCGCUAGUAAUCGCAGAUCAGCAACGCUGCGGUGAAUACGUUCCCGGGCCU
rnacentral:rRNA from 1 species